rnacentral:rRNA from 1 species
CCUACGGGAGGCAGCAGUAGGGAAUAUUGCUCAAUGGGGGAAAGCUUGAAGCAGCAACGCCGCGUGGAGGAUGAAGGUUUUCGGAUUGUAAACUCCUUUUGUUAGAGAAGAUAAUGACGGUAUCUAACGAAUAAGCAUCGGCUAACGCCGGGCCAGCAGCCGAGGUAAUACGGAGGGUGCAAGCGUUACUCGGAAUCACUGGGCGUAAAGAGCGCGUAGGCGGGAUAGCAAGUCAGAUGUGAAAUCCUAGGGCUUAACCAUAGAACUGCAUUUGAAAGUGUUAUUCUAGAGAAUGGGAGAGGUAGGUGGAAUGCUUAGUGUAGGGGUAAAA